UUUUCGUAGGUGAACCUGCGGAAGGAUCAUUAAUGAGUUGUCAUGGGGUUCGAUGCUGGCAGCCAAUUUUUGGAUGCAUGUGCUUGCCCUAACAAUCAUCUUCCAAACACCUGUGCACAUUUUUGAGGGAGUCUUGAGUUGGUUGCCGCUCUUGGGUGAUUUUCUCACAUUCCCUUAAAUCAUUAUACGCUAUUAACAAUGUUGAACGUGCUCUGUGCCGCAAGGCUAUUAAUAUAAUACAACUUUUAACAACGGAUCUCUUGGCUCUU
rnacentral:misc_RNA from 1 species